rnacentral:rRNA from 1 species
ACUCAAAUGAAUUGACGGGGGCCCGCACAAGCGGUGGAGCAUGUGGAUUAAUACGUCACUAACCGUAGAACCUUACCCAGGCUUGACAUCUGUGGAAUCCCCUUGAAAGGGGGGAGUGCCUCGCAAGAGGAGCCACAAGACAGGUGUUGCAUGGCUGUCGUCAGCUCGUGUCGUGAGAUGUUGGGUUAAGUCCCGCAACGAGCGCAACCCUCACCGUAUGUUGCCAGCGUAAAGUCGGGCACUCUUACGGAACUGCCCGGGUAACCGGGAGGAAGGUGGGGACGACGUCAAGUCAGCAUGGCCCUUACGCCUGGGGCUUCACACAUGCUACAAUGGCCGGUACAAAGGGUUCCAAGCCCGCGAGGUGGAGGCAAUCCCAAAAAGCCGGUCUCAGUUCGGAUUGCAGGCUGCAACUCGCCUGCAUGAAGUUGGAAUCGCUAGUAACGGCCGGUCAGCUAAACGGCCGUGAAUACGUUCCCGGGCCUUGUACACACCGCCCGU